rnacentral:rRNA from 1 species
UACGUAGGGUGCAAGCGUUAAUCGGAAUUACUGGGCGUAAAGCGUGCGCAGGCGGUUCGCUAAGACCGAUGUGAAAUCCCCGGGCUUAACCUGGGAACUGCAUUGGUGACUGGCGGGCUAGAGUAUGGCAGAGGGGGGUAGAAUUCCGACGUGUAGCAGUGAAAUGCGUAGAGAUGUGGAGGAAUACCGAUGGCGAAGGCAGCCCCCUGGGCCAAUACUGACGCCUCAUGCACGAAAGCGUGGGGAGCAAACAGG